AUGGCCGCCGCCGCCGCCACCCGCCUCUUCCUCCUCCACUCCAGCCCGCCCUCCUCCCUCCCGUGCCCAAACCCUAGCCCCAGCUCCGCCCAUACGCCCCGCCCCGCCUACCCGCGCCUCGCGCUCGCCCACCGCAUGGCGGCGGCCCCGGCGGCGAUCGCCGGGCCCUCCGGCGACUCCGAGCGCGACCUGAGCGCGUCCGCGGUCUCGUUGGAGGCGCUUGGGGCCGUCGAGUCCUCGGGCGACGGUUUGGAGAGGAAGGAGCCGAGCGUGGCCACGAUACUGACCAGCUUCGAGAACUCGUUCGACAAGUAUGGGGCUCUCAGCACGCCGCUGUACCAGACGGCCACCUUCAAGCAGCCUUCAGCAACCGUUAAUGGAGCUUAUGAUUAUACUAGAAGUGGCAACCCUACUCGUGAUGUUCUCCAGAGCCUUAUGGCUAAGCUCGAGAAGGCAGACCAAGCAUUCUGCUUCACUAGUGGGAUGGCAUCACUGGCUGCAGUAACACACCUCCUUCAGGCUGGACAAGAAAUAGUUGCUGGAGAGGACAUAUAUGGUGGCUCUGAUCGUCUGCUCUCACAAGUUGUCCCAAGAAAUGGAAUUGUAGUAAAACGGGUCGAUACAACUAAAAUUAACGACGUGACUGCUGCAAUCGGACCCUUGACUAGACUAGUUUGGCUUGAAAGUCCCACCAAUCCUCGUCAACAAAUUACUGAUAUAAAGAAAAUCUCAGAGAUAGCUCAUUCUCAUGGUGCACUUGUUUUGGUGGACAACAGUAUCAUGUCUCCAGUGCUAUCCUGGCCUAUAGAACUUGGAGCAGAUAUUGUGAUGCACUCAGCUACCAAAUUUAUAGCUGGACACAGUGAUCUUAUGGCUGGAAUUCUUGCUGUAAAGGGUGAAAGCUUGGCUAAGGAGAUUGCAUUUCUACAAAACGCUGAAGGUUCUGGUUUGGCACCUUUUGAUUGUUGGCUUUGCUUGAGAGGGAUCAAAACCAUGGCCUUACGGGUGGAAAAGCAACAGGAUAAUGCCCAGAAGAUUGCUGAAUUCUUAGCUUCUCAUCCAAGGGUCAAGCAAGUGAAUUAUGCUGGACUUCCUGAUCAUCCUGGCCGAUCUUUACACUACUCUCAGGCAAAGGGAGCGGGCUCUGUCCUCAGUUUCCAAACUGGUUCAUUGUCUCUCUCAAAGCAUGUUGUUGAGACAACCAAGUACUUCAACGUAACAGUUAGCUUCGGAAGUGUGAAGUCACUCAUAAGCUUGCCCUGCUUCAUGUCGCACGCGAGCAUCCCUUCCUCGGUGCGAGAGGAGCGUGGGUUGACUGAUGAUCUAGUACGGAUAUCGGUGGGUAUUGAGGAUGUGGAUGACCUCAUAGCUGAUCUUGAUUACGCGCUCAGGUCCGGUCCAGCAUAG
rnacentral:rRNA from 1 species